rnacentral:lncRNA from 1 species
CAGAGGAACAGGACACUAUGACCACAGCUCCAGUGAAGAGCUUAAGAACCUGUGCCUCAGUGGAACAAGAGAGGGGGCGGUUGGAAGAGAGACAGAACAGAGACUGGAGGUUUGACCGUGGACACGUAGUGGGGCCAGGACAGCAGCCCGUGGUGGAGAAUGAGGACAAAGCAGCAGCUUCAGGACUCUUCCCCCAGAUUCUUCCCCAAAGACCUUCAUGACUUCUCCCUUUCGACGUCCAGACAACAACGUUGUGGGCUCUGUAUGAUGGAAGUAUUUCUGAUCUGGCUUUCACACAGUCGUUGAGGUUGCCUCCAUCUCACUCACUUCCCUCAGGAUAUGCAGAUGGUCUCUGGGCUUGAUGAAAUUUGGUUAGAAGGAAAAGGGAAAAGCCUGACCGAUUGCUGGGGAAUCAAUGCCUCUGCCGCACAGACUGAUAAUAAGUCCUCUACGCACAUGUCCUCGGUUUGAAGUCCUGGCUUCUUUACACUGGCAACUUUUAUCUACCAAAGGAGAUGUUGCAUAUCAAACCCUGCUGCACCAGUCACUUCAGAUUUAUUAGCAAAGCUAUUGAAAAAACAUUUCCAGGGGAAUAAAUCUGAACCUGCCAACUCCCUCCA